UUAUAUACCUAUUUUAGGUAUACAUAUAUUUUUUCCGAAGUGCUUCCAAAUCAGCAAUGGUCCACCAUUGCUGAUUUGGAAGAUUUUCAAGAUGAAGCUGUUGAUACUGACGCUUUUCAUAGCGGCAGGGUACGCGGCCGACCUACCGCCGUCCUGCAACAAGCCCGUGUACUGCGACAGCAAACUUCUCCACUACGUGCAGAUGGCUCGCAUCUUCCCGGACUCUAAAACAUUCGUCGAUCUAGAGAUGAUAAACGAUGAAACGACCACGCUCGCUGCUUUCGACAAUCUCCUGAACCAAACAAGUAAUAAUCCCACAAAACCUCAACUCGAGGAAUUCGUGGAUAAACAUUUUAGCUCUGUCGGCGAACUGGACGAUUGGACUCCUCCCGAUUACAAUCCGCAACCGUUAUUCUUAGCGGGUAUUCAGGACGAACGUUUUAGGGACUUUGGGAAAAGUGUGAACGACAUUUGGCCUACUCUGGGUAGAAAAGUGAAGUCUAUAGUUUUUGAGCAACCGGACCGCUUCAGUCUGAUCCCUGUCCACAACGGAUUCGUUAUUCCUGGCGGUCGUUUUCGAGAACUCUACUACUGGGACACCUAUUGGAUCAUCGAAGGUCUCCUCGUCAGUGGAAUGCAUGAAACAGUGAAAGGAGUGAUAGAGAACUUACUGGAGCUGGUAAAGACAGUUGGACACGUGCCCAACGGCAGCAGAUGGUAUUACCAAGAGCGCAGCCAGCCUCCGAUGUUGACCGCCAUGAUGUCCCUUUAUGUUCAGGCUACAAACGAUAUCAAGUUUCUGAAAGACAAUAUUGAAGCUCUUGAAGAAGAGUUAGAAUACUGGUUGAAUUCGCAAUUGGUUACCUUCAAUAUUGGGGAUAAAGCCUACUCGUUGUUGCGUUACGAUGCACCCAGCGAAGGCCCUCGACCCGAAUCGUAUUACGAAGACUACAGCAACGCCCAAACAUUCGAAACACCUGAACGUCAACAAGAGUUUUACACAGACUUAAAAAGUGCAGCUGAAAGUGGCUGGGACUUUUCGUCGCGGUGGUUCAUUGAUAACAAUGGAAAUAACAAUGGCACUUUUUUGACACUCCGUGCCAGUCAAAUAAUUCCGGUCGACCUAAACUCCAUAUUCGCAAACGCUUUGAAGAAAAUGACAUAUUUCCAAGCAAUAACGCUGAACGUUCGCAAAAGCGCACAUUGGGGAUACCUCGCUAAGCAGUGGCAAAGUACAAUCAAGGAAGUCUUCUGGAACGACGAGGAUGGCAUUUGGUACGAUUGGGACUUAGCGAAUAGUCGCCACCGCAAAUACUUCUACCCCAGUAACGUCGCUCCUCUUUGGAUGGGUGUCGUGGACAAACAGUUUGUCAGAGUAAACGCUUCGCGAAUUUUGCAGUGGCUGGACAAUUCUAAAGGUCUAGAUUUCCCUGGCGGUGUUCCAACAUCUUUGUCCGCAUCUGGAGAGCAAUGGGACUUCCCUAACGCGUGGCCCCCUCUAGUAAGCUUGGUAGUAAACGCUUUAGAAGCGUUGGGAACAAAAGACUCCUUGCUAAGGGCUCGUGAAGUGGCUCAAACAUGGCUUCGGGGAUGUCUCAAAGGAUUCGAUACCAGCAAACAAAUGUUCGAGAAAUACGACGUGGUAACACCUGGACAAAUAGGCGGUGGGGGAGAAUAUAAUGUCCAGACUGGUUUUGGAUGGUCCAAUGGAGUUGUCCUUGAGUUCCUUGCGAAAUAUGGCCGUGUGGUCACCUCGCAGGAUUCUGUGGAUGAUUUGAGUGUGAUACCAGCAAACAUAUUAAGUUUGCUGUCACCGACCAAAACUGCUGCUAGCGUUCCAAAUAUGUUAGUGCACAGAUUUAGAAGAUGUGUCCCUCUGUACCCGGUGUUGGGAUUGCUCGGAGCGUGUGCACAAGCGUUCAGUGUUGUCCCCUCUUGCAACUCCUCCAUCUACUGCUCGGGAGAACUCCUGCAUAAGGUCCAACUCGCGCGCAUUUUCCCCGAUUCGAAAACGUUUGUGGAUCUCAAACUAAAACAUACUGAAAAUGAAACGUUGGAUUAUUUCGCGAAGCUAAUGCACGACACGGGCCAGAAUCCGUCGCGUGAACAACUCACAAAUUUUCUCGAUCAACAUUUCUCAGCGGGAAAUGAGAUAGAUAACUGGCUACCGCCCGAUUUCGACCCGGAUCCUCCUGUAUUGCAACAAAUUACAGAUCCAAAGCUGAGAGCUUUCGCUAAAAGUAUCAUAGGAAUAUGGGCCAAGCUGGGAAGGAAAGUUCAAGAUGACGUAAAAAUAAAUUCGGAUCGCUAUAGUUUUUUAUAUGUGCCCAAUGGAUUUAUUGUGCCGGGAGGAAGAUUUAAGGAGCUUUACUAUUGGGAUUCAUUUUGGGUGAUACGCGGACUUCUCAUAAGUAACAUGGCUCAAACGGCUAAAGGUAUGAUAGAAAAUCUUUUGUAUUUAGUCGAAAAGUACGGGUAUAUUCCUAACGGCAGUCGUUCGUACUAUCUGGGCAGAAGUCAGCCGCCCCUGUUAGCUGCAAUGGUAGCUAGCUAUUACGCAGCUACUGGCGAUCUCGCAUGGCUUGAACGUAACAUAGAAACUGUUGAAAAAGAGCUGCAAUAUUGGUUGGAUCAGAAAAAAGUGACGAUCGAAGUUAAAGGAAAUAAAUAUAUGCUACUGAGGUAUUUUGCGGAUAGACAAAGCAAGGGUCCGCGGCCAGAGUCAUAUUUCUAAGAUUACAGUAACGCUCGUGUUUUGAAAAAUGAAGAAAUGCGCGAAGCUUUUUACGCAGAAAUGAAAAGCGCAGCGGAAAGCGGAUGGGACUUUUCUUCUAGAUGGUUCGUGACAGCUGACGAUGAAAUCGGUAACUUGACAAAUGUACACGCCACUCGUAUCCUUCCAGUAGACUUAAAUGCCAUAUUUGCCGGUGCCUUGGAACUGGCCGGCUUCUUUCGGAACAAGCUAAAAGAUAGAAGAGAGGCCCAGAAGUGGUGGAGCUUAGCGAAGUACUGGCGGAGCGCCAUAGAGAAUGUUAUGUGGGAUGCUGAAGACGGCGUUUGGUACGACUACGACGCUCUAGCGAAGGCCCCUAGAAAGCACUUCUAUCCUAGUUGCGUCACUCCCUUAUGGUCAGCUGCAAUAGAGGAUUACAAUGCCCCUAAAUACGCUGAGCGCAUAGUUAAGAACUUACUUACUUCAGGUGCCCUUGACUUUCCUGGUGGGAUCCCAGCGUCAGUGCUCCAUUCUGGCGAACAGUGGGACUUUCCUAAUGCCUGGCCACCGUCGCAGAGUAUUUUAAUAUUCGGGUUAGAUUCCAGUGGCAACGAAGAAGCUAAACGAUUGGCUAAAGAGCAGGCCAGGUUGUGGAUACGUGCGAAUUACAUUGGCUACAGUACUUGGCAGAAGAUGUUUGAGAAGUACAGUUCUGUGAAGCCAGGGCAUCAAGGUGGUGGCGGCGAGUAUGGAGUCCAGGAUGGCUUCGGCUGGACCAAUGGUGUUGUGCUCGAACUGUUACAAAGAUAUGGCAAAGAGCUGGUACUUUACGAAGAACCUGGAAACGUCACACCGAAUAUACAACUAGUAUUGUAACCUAAUAUUUACGCAAUCUCCAUUUGUGUAAAACCUGAUAAUGUAUUCCUAUUAGCCUAGUAAGAAUUUGUGUACUAUCAUUUCAAUUUGCAUUGGAAAAUUUAUGCAAGUUUCUAAAUAGAGUAGAUAUUUCAAAGUAAAAUUGUACAAUCGUGUAAAAUAACAAUUAUUAUAUAACAGAGUAAACAAUAAUUUAUGUAUAUGAAGAUCUUUUAGCAUAUUUUUUUACAUUUCUAUAUCUAAAUUAUCCCGAGAUAGCUAUUAAUAUUACCUAUUAUUAAAUAACUAUAAGGAAUUGGAAUGGCAGGAUCGAUGGUGAUUUUUUUUAAAUAUCUAAUGAAAGAAAAAUUUAUAAUGUAGCAAUAAUUGUUUACUAUAGUAAAUAAUAACGGGAAAUCCAACAAUAGUCAUAAUUAUUUGUAGUAUUAUCUAACUCCAAUAGGUACAAUUAGCUAGGUAUUUUAAUUAUAAGUACAAAAGUGCGUUGUUAUUAUAUUUAUUAGAAUUAAAUAUUUUUAAAUGAA